CCUACGGGAGGCAGCAGUGGGGAAUAUUGGACAAUGGGCGAAAGCCUGAUCCAGCCAUGCCGCGUGUGUGAAGAAGGCCUUCGGGUUGUAAAGCACUUUCAGUGGGGAAGAAAGCCUUGGGGCUAAUACCCUCGAGGAAGGACAUCACCCACAGAAGAAGCACCGGCUAACUCCGUGCCAGCAGCCGCGGUAAUACGGAGGGUGCGAGCGUUAAUCGGAAUUACUGGGCGUAAAGCGCGCGUAGGCGGUCUGAUAAGCCGGUUGUGAAAGCCCCGGGCUCAACCUGGGAACGGCAUCCGGAACUGUCAGGCUAGAGUGCAGGAGAGGAAGGUAGAAUUCCCGGUGUAGCGGUGAAAUGCGUAGAGAUCGGGAGGAAUACCAGUGGCGAAGGCGGCCUUCUGGACUGACACUGACGCUGAGGUGCGAAAGCGUGGGUAGCAAACAGGAUUAGAUAACCGGGUAGUC
rnacentral:rRNA from 1 species